UCUGCUCCCUUGAAGCCUGGCGUGCCUCGGUGAUGCAGAUGGUUGUGCUCUCUGCUUUAAUGACUGACGUUAAUACCAUGCUGAAAGAUGUGUUUACUUUCUUUAUAGGGCGCAGAGGCAGGAGGCCCAUCAAUGGGGGGGUAGCGUACAGAGGAACUGGUGUGUAAUUUUGCCACCUGACACUUGUGCAUCCACCAAUAGAUGAGCCCAGCCGUCUCUACAGGUGACCCAGCACCAUGCCAUAACAUACUCAGCUGGUACACUCAGAUGUUCCCCCAAAGCUCUGGUUCCAUCGUGGCUGACACAAACGAGGAAACCCGAGCCAACGGCUGGAAAAACGAGAGUCGCACUUCUUUAAAGAAAAAAAGAAAAAAAGGUCCAGUGAUUCGAGCAAAUCGUCUCAUGACGUCAUAGAGCUCCUGCACCUCCUUUGGGUAGCAACCCUCCAGUACUGCAAAACCACAAGGGAGAGAGAGAAAAGAAGGGAACAUGAUUCCAGUGACAAAGUGGCAAGAAAAGAAAGAAGAAUAGAGCAAUGUACCUGACCUUUGAACCCGGACACUUGGUCACACUGAAGCAAAAUGUCACACUUUGCCUACUUGCCCUGGUCCCGUGGCCCGGUUCCUUUUUAAUGGGGAUGAAAACGCCAACUCGUCACAACAGAACAGGUG